rnacentral:piRNA from 1 species
GGAAAUAGGUGUAUUCUGCUCUGUCU